GUCUCCUUAGCUCAGCUGGAUAGAGCAACGGCCUUCUAAGCCGUAGGUCGCAGGUUCGAAUCCUGCAGGGGACGCCA
rnacentral:tRNA from 4 species